CAGUGACAGUCCAUGCCCCCAGCCCAUGGGAUCGAGCCUCGCACAAUUCAGAUCCUGUCACGCUGACAAUGUCAACCAUCACAGCGAUCCUGUCGAAACUCAUCAAGAAACCCGCAAAGUGACAUAUUAUUAUGACUUUUAACUGGUGUAUGAUUGGUAAUCUGGGAGUGUUUAGAAACCUUGGGACUUGUUGAUAGACGUGGGGGGAAAAAGUGUUCUUUAGGCUUCUCUCGAGCCAAAUAAAAAUACAGCAAACGUAUACAGGAGAAGCACAGCCUUCUAUGAUAGACUGGGACUGGGAUGGCUGAG
rnacentral:lncRNA from 1 species